CCACAGCUGUCACACCUCCCUUUUCCUAACCCGGAAGAGGUAUAAAAGAGUUUUUUCAAUUAAAGGACAACCGAAACGGAAUUUAUUAUUAAAGAUUCAGAAUCAACACUUGGGAGAUUUAUGGUGUCUCAAGUCACCGCUUGAAUCCUGAAUCGAGGAAAAUAUUGACUCUGUUUAACAUUCCGCGAAUCAGAAAUUCGAAUUACACAAUAAUUAAUAAAAUUGGUUUUCACAUUGCAAAUCCUCAUAUACAUUCAAUCAGACUUCACUUGAAUUACAUGGUUCCCAUUCACUUGUUGCUCAAAGAUAGAGGAAUGCAUAAGAAAAAAAAUAGGGAAAGGAAGGUGAAAGCAAUGAACAACAGCAGGAGGAGAUACCAGCCACAAGAAGUAAACCAUCAAAAAUGAUCUUGAACCUCAAAAAUUGAAGUAUUGAGCCCAGAAACCAAUUUCAACAAACAGCCAGCCCAAAAAACCUCAAAACUCAGACUCAAUGACUGGACCUCAAACCAUUUCAAAGCUCAAACAGUCAGAAAUUGAAUUUGGAAGUAAAAGUUUCAAAUUGCCAAACAAAAUCAAUGGAACAGUAGUUUCAACAUAGUCUAAUAAAAAAAUUUCCAAAAUAAUAUCAAACCAACUCGAAUCUUAUUACUGAACACUAUUGUUGUAAGAACUCAUCAGAAUCAGAAUUCACUAAAGCUCGAUUGUGCAUCAGAACUCUUAUUUUUUUCCAGAAUUCUAUUUCUAUAUCUCUUCUUUUAUUGUCUGCUUGUGU
rnacentral:lncRNA from 1 species